ACUAAAAAAAGUGGGGAACAGCGGAGAACCGACUCAAACGAACUACGAUUGGACUCAUUCCAGCGGCAUUGGAACCGGCUCGUUGAACCCUAACUAGGAUCUCUUAACCCUAAACCCUAAAUCCUAACUCCUAAACUCUAAACCCUAAAGCUAAAAAAUAAGGCUAAAACGUAAGCUAAGCCGUAAAAUCUAAACUAUAAACCUUAAAAGCUAAACCUUAAAGGCUAAACCUAAAGCUAAACCCUAAACCCUAAAGCUAAACCCUAAUAUAUUUAGGGUUUAGGGGUUAUAAUUUAGGGUUUAGGGUUAAGAGAUCCUAGUUAGGGUUCAACGAGCCGGUUCCAACGCCGCUGGAAUGAGUCUAAUCGGAGUUCGUUUGAGUCGGUUCCCCACUGUUCCUCACUUUUUUAGUGUUCCCCAAUGAACCUCACACUAUCCAACAAGUAAGUGAUCGCCAUAAGGAAUUAAAAAAUAAAAAACACCGCCUAAUCAAAACCGAACCAAGCCUCAAGACUAGUUCGUAACUUUACAAGAUAAACGCCACAAACUAGGGGGACUUGAUGAGGUUACGUGCAAAGCACCAGACCGAACAUCGUAUACAUCGGAUCGACCAUCAUCCACCAAGGUCAGAACGUUAGUCAUCGAAGACAACAUAUCAUCAGGACAGGCCGAACGGCCUAGGAGAUACGAUCGAUGUAGGGGAUCAACUUUAACUAACCUGGGGCCCACAACUCUAACUGCCUGACAACGACAGGUUUAGCCAUAACUAACUCUGCCACAUCAGCACACCCAAAAGUUAUAAAUACCACACUUAGAUCUCCAAAAAGGGGUAAUGGCUACUUUCUCUCUCUAACUCCCCUCCCUCUUACUGACUUACUCCACAUGCUCCAAUAUUUAUUCUCACGCACGAGCUUGGUCACAGAGAGGCAGCCCUCCUUGUGACGAGGCUAAUGGUGUGUUUCUUCCUCUGUUGUGAUCUUACAGGUUACACAAAGACUUCUGAGACUCUGUUCUUCGAACAGCUCGGACCAACUGGUUAUUGAGUCUUCAGGAACCGGAACUCAUUGUAGGUAGUCUAGUUAAUUUGGAAAUUGUGGGGGUUGUGAAUAUUGCGAGUGUUGUGAAAAUUGGGUUGAGAAUUAUAGGUAUUGUGAUUGUUGGGUUGUGAAUUGUAAGUGUUGGGGUGGUUGCCUUGGAACAGCUACAUGUCUUUUUUUUUCGGUUGGAAAACGACUUCUUUCUUUGUGUGGGAUUCGUUGAGAGAGCUUAAACCCUAUUUUUUUUUUCAAAAAAAAUAGAGAGUAAUUUGUUGAGAGAGGUGAGAAUUUUGUAAAAAAAAAUGAGUUUAAUAUGUAUUAAUAUGGUAAAAUAAAUUAAUAUUUUUUUAGAAAAAGUUGUUGUCAAAUGGCUCUAUGAAAGAUUAACUUCUUAAAUGAAAAGUCGUUCCCAAAUGGCUUUAUCAAAGAUUAAAUAGUCGAGUUGUAUUAGGAGAAGCCAACUACUCAAGAUUUUUUAGGCACACCUCGCAACACAUGGGGAGGUGUUCUCGCAAGUUCCUGUGGGUCCCAGAUGUGUGCAAGAGUUUCACUAUGUUCCCCUAAGUUAUUAGAGACUAGGCUCGGGCGACUGUUUACUAAAAACACAUGUCUCUUCAAAGUCGUAAGACCAUGAUGGGGGAUGAUGCCCGCCCAUUGCCGGAAGGUCAAGGAAGUUGGUGAUUUGAUGACAGGGGUGCUGUCGGCCGAAGCCUCGGUGAACGGCGGUCAUAACUAUAACUGUCCUAAGGCAGCAAAAUUCCUUGUCGGGUAAGUUCUGAUCCAGUACGAAAGGCGUAACUAUCUGGGCUCCGUCUCGGAGAGAGGCUCGGUGAAAUAGACAUGUCUGUGAAGAUGCGGACUAUCUCCACCUGGACAGAAAGACUCUAUGAAGCUUCACACUGUUCCCUUGGAUUGGCUUUGGGCCUUUCCUGCGCAGCUUAGGUAGAAGGCGAAGAGGGCUUCCUUCCGGGGGAUGGGUGUGAGCCAUCAGGAAGAGCUAUAAUUCUAACCUUAUGUUAGGACGUACGGGCCAAGGGACAGUCUCAGGUAGACAGUUUCUAUGGGGCGUAGGCCUCCGGAAAGGUAACGGGGGCGUGCAAAGGUUUCCUCGGGCCGGACGGAGAUUGGCCCUCGAGUGCAAAGGCAGAAGGAAGCUUGACUGCAAGACCCAACCCUCGAGCAGGGACGAAAGUCGGCCUUAGUGAUCCGACGGUGCUGAGUGGAAGGAUCGUCGCUUAACGGAUAAAAGUUACUCUAGGGAUAACAAGUUGAUCUUCCCAAAGAGCUCACAUUGACGAGAGGUUUGGCACCUCGAUGUCGGCUCUUCGCCACCUGGGGCUGUAGUAUGUUUCAAGGGUUCGGUUGUUCGCCCAUUAAAGUGGUACGUGAGCUGGGUUCAAAACGUCAUGACAAAAGCCAAUUUUAACACGCCGUUUACUCGGCCAGCACGAUUUGCACCAUUAAUUGUAAAAGCAUUUUUAAAAAGUCUUUCAAUAUAAGUUUCAUCCAUAAACUUGCAUGUCAUGUGACAAAUUUGAAUGACUAUUCAAGCUCUACGAAAAGACUUUACUGAAAUAUUCUCAUAGGAUCUAGUAAGAAUAUGAUAAAAAAAUAUGCUUUUUUAACUUAGAUAAAGACAAAUUAAUAAGAACUUUGUAAGCCAUGCCCUUCAUAAGCCCUAAAGAAGAAGAA
rnacentral:rRNA from 1 species